rnacentral:rRNA from 1 species
AAACGACUCUCGGCAACGGAUAUCUCGGCUCACGCAUCGAUGAAGAACGUAGCAAAAUGCGAUACUUGGUGUGAAUUGCAGAAUCCCGUGAACCAUCGAGUUUUUGAACGCAAGUUGCGCCCGAAGCCGUUUGGUCGAGGGCACGUCUGCCUGGGCGUCACGCAU